rnacentral:rRNA from 1 species
GUUCCGGGGGAGUAUGUCGCAUGCUCAACUAAAGGAUUGACGGAAGGCACCGCCAGGAGUGGGACCGCGGGUUAAUUGUGACUCAGCACGCCGCGGAAACUUACCAGCUCCAGACAUAGCGUAUAUUUAAGUUGAUUGACAGUCAAAGAGCUCUUUCUUGGUCCUAUGGGUUGUGGUCGAUCGGUCCGCCUCUGAGUUGGUGCACCGGUUGGUCUCGUCCAUUCUGUUAACGAGCGAUGCGCUCCUGGCCUGCUAAUUGGCUAGGUCGUGGUAACCCUCCACGGCGCUGUUACUUUGAAGAAAUUAGAGUGACUCAAAGCAAGCUUACGCUCCGGAUAGUUUGAGGCAUGGGAUAACACCACAGGAUUGUGAUGCCCUAUAGAUGUUCUGGGCCUUCGGGAUCGCGAGCUACACUGAUGUAUUCAGGGACGAGUCUAUAGCCUUGGCCGUAUUUCAUAGCCCGAGGUGAAAUUCUUUGAAAUUUCAUCGUAAGAUGAACAACUGGGAUAGAUCAUUGCCAAGGUUGUUGGUCAUUAAUCAACGACGAAUUCCUAGUAAGGGGCGCGAAGUCGAUCAGCUCGCGUCGACUACGUCCCUGCCCUUUGCACACGAUGCCGCCCGUCAAUCAGCGGAUGUUGCUUUUA